UACGUAGGUGGCAAGCGUUAUCCGGAUUUAUUGGGUGUAAAGGGUGAGUAGGCGGGCGAGCAAGUCAGAUGUGAAAUGUUCAGGCUUAACCUGAGAACUGCAUUUGAAACUGCUUGUCUUGAGAGUCGGAGGGGCAAUUGGAAUUCCCGGUGUAGCGGUGAAAUGCGUAGAGAUCGGGAGGAACACCAGUGGCGAAGGCGAAUUGCUGGACGACAACUGACGCUGAGACACGAAAGCGUGGGGAGCAAACAGG
rnacentral:rRNA from 1 species